rnacentral:misc_RNA from 1 species
CCAGAAUGUGACCGAAAGGCUAAACCACUAGUGAACCUAUCCUUUAGCGUUGCUUCGGCGGGUCGAUCGCCCCUAGGGGCGGAGCCGCGGCUGCCUUCGGGGCUCGCCGCCGCCGACCGGUCCGAACUCUGUUAUCCAUGCUAGAAUCUCUGAGUAUACAAGAAAAUAAGUCA